UGGGUUCUGAUCCACUGUUGCCAGGGAGCC
rnacentral:piRNA from 1 species